GACGAACGCUGGCGGCGUGCUUAACACAUGCAAGUCGAACGGAAAGGCCCUGCUUUUGUGGGGUGCUCGAGUGGCGAACGGGUGAGUAACACGUGAGUAACCUGCCCUUGACUUUGGGAUAACUUCAGGAAACUGGGGCUAAUACCGGAUAGGAGCUCCUGCUGCAUGGUGGGGGUUGGAAAGUUUCGGCGGUUGGGGAUGGACUCGCGGCUUAUCAGCUUGUUGGUGGGGUAGUGGCUUACCAAGGCUUUGACGGGUAGCCGGCCUGGGAGGGUGACCGGGCACAAUAGGACUGAGAUACGGCCCAGACUGCUACGGGAGGCAGCAGUGGGGAAUAUUGCACAAUGGGCGGAAGCCUGAUGCAGCAACGCCGCGUGCGGGAUGACGGCCUUCGGGGUGUAAACCGCUUUCGCCUGUGACGAAGCGUGAGUGACGGUAAUGGGUAAAGAAGCACCGGCUAACUACGUG
rnacentral:rRNA from 1 species